rnacentral:lncRNA from 1 species
AAAUAUCCAAGACUUGUUAUGGUGAGGAGCCAAGUGGAAUGGAAAGGAUAGCUCAUCCCGGCGGCUGGGAGUGCAUGCACACACAUGCCCCCUUUUUCUUGUCUACUAACAGGAUCUAUGGAAGGAGUUCAUAAUGAAGCAAGUUGCAAGACAAAUCCAAAUUCAAGAAGGUCAAGAAAUACACUCCGUCUCCAGAGCUAUCUAUGACUUUGAGUUGAAAUAUCUGAGGCCAACACUCCAAGCAAUUUUAAACAAGUGGUGACAGAAAUUACCAGACACACAUCAAGACUCAAGUAUAAAGCUAUACAAUUUAAGGAUGCUCAGCAAAUGUUACUGAAUUGACUGGGUAGUCUGUAAAGAGCUGAAGAAUAAAAGAUGUUAUGAGAAACCCAACAAUACCAAAUAUAAAUUGCCUCAGGUUCUGAAAUAUUCAAUAAAGUAUUCUCACUGUA